rnacentral:lncRNA from 1 species
UGCCAGUCGUCUCUCAAAUCACGGCGAGCUUUAAUCAUUAGGUCGGAUGCGAGAACCAUGCUGUAUUGAGGAUGAAUGGGGAUAACAUUUUCAUUUUGAAAUGGUUGCCCAAUACGGCCUGUAAGCAGCUUUUAGCGUCAGAGAAAAUGACAACUUUUGGGAUGCUGUGAGACUCUACAUAUGUCACAGCCUCCAUCAAUGCAAUUGAUUCACCGGUAAAGACAGAGGCCUGUGAAGGGCAUUUGUAGGAUAGAAGGAUACGGUAUCUGGGUAUCCAAAUUGCUGCUCCCACACAGCUAUUAUUGUUCAGUUUUGAUGCGUCUGUGUAAAUUGGUAUCAAGGCGGAGAGAGCUUGUAGCCGAGGGAUGAGCAAGUGAUUUGAUAUGGAGCAAGCCCUCAAUACAUAUCGGUCUGCAAGGAGUUGUCUGCGGAGAGAUAGCGGUGGAUCUACACACUCCACCUGCAUGCCAUUCUUUGGGUUCUAGGACAAGGGAGCCAUAGUCCAUUUGGCUGCGGAUUAAGGCAUUGUACACUAAUUUCUGGCAGUAAGGAUGUGCACCCCACCAAACCCCAGAGAGAGAUCGGAGAACAUUUAUGCCUCUUUCACAUUUGCCAACGAUAUGUUUCAAAUGUGGAACACCUGACAUUUUGGAAUCAAAAAACACUCCCAGAAAUUUUACCAUAUUACUGGAGGGUAUAAUUUGGUCUUCAUAGCGAAGAAGUAUAUUUGGGAUGGAGUGACGGCGAGUGAAGGUAACAGUGCUGCUUUUUGAGGGAGAAAGAGAUAGACCAUGCUCAUCCAACCAUUCCUUAAGGUAUACAAGAG